UCGAGAGGCUUUGGCAAUGGGGGAAACCCUGACCAAGCGACGCCGCGUGGAGGAUGAAGGCCCUUGGGUCGUAAACUCCUUUUGUCGGGGAAGAAAUACGAUCAGGUGAAUAAUCUGGUCGCUUGACGGUACCCGGCGAAUAAGCUCCGGCUAACUCCGUGCCAGCAGCCGCGGUAACACGGGGGGAGCAAGCGUUGUUCGGAAUCACUGGGCGUAAAGGGCGUGUAGGCGGUCAAGUAAGUGGAAUGUGAAAUCCCUCGGCUUACCCGAGGACCUGCAUCCCAAACUGCUUGGCUUGAGUACGGGAGAGGAUGAGGGAAUUCCUGGUGUAGCGGUGAAAUGCGUAGAUAUCAGGAGGAACACCGGUGGCGAAGGCGCUCAUCUGGCCCGAUACUGACGCUGAGGCGCGAAAGCUAGGGGAGCAAACGG
rnacentral:rRNA from 1 species